GUAGAAUCCACCACCACUGCGGGGUUCCGUCUCCUGCUGCCUUUCUUCUACCAUGAGUGGAGAUCUGCUGGUGGCAUAAGGAAGAGGGGAACUUGAAUGUGGAGAAGGUUGCUUACACAGCACUGUUAAUGAACCCACCUCCCACUUCAGUCACAAAAUGCAAGUAUUGUUCCAAUUUAGUAUUUCUAAAGGCACAUCAUGAUGGAGACAUUUAGAAAACUACUGAAAA